UACGAAGGGGGCUAGCGUUGCUCGGAAUCACUGGGCGUAAAGCGCACGUAGGCGGCUUGUUAAGUCAGGGGUGAAAUCCUGGAGCUCAACUCCAGAACCGCCUUUGAUACUGGCGAGCUUGAGUCCGGGAGAGGUGAGUGGAACUGCGAGUGUAGAGGUGAAAUUCGUAGAUAUUCGCAAGAACACCAGUGGCGAAGGCGGCUCACUGGCCCGGUACUGACGCUGAGGUGCGAAAGCGUGGGGAGCAAACAGG
rnacentral:rRNA from 1 species